GCGGCAGUAGCUCAGUGGUAGAGCCCCGCUCCGCAUGCGGGGAGACCUGGGUUCGAUUCUUGGCUGCUUCU
rnacentral:tRNA from 1 species